CUCUCUCUCUCUCUCUGUGUGCGCACGCGCGUGUUUGUGUGUGUUAUGUGCUCCUCUGUUUUUUCAAACAAUAAUAAAUUAUCAGCAAUACAUGAGGAUUCCUUUUUGGGUAUCUGAAGAACAUGAGGCAAUUCAAUAACUUAAGAUUAUCUUUCUUGUUUUUCACUUAAGUUGAGACUUGAAAAUGCUAGUGUGGGCUGAUAUUGUUUGUUAUGUGUUUUCUUGCUGAUGCCAUAAUUUGAAAAACUAUGUUUAAAUGAUAAAAUCAUGAUAACUUGAAAGGCUGGUUUGCCUAGGAAUGGCCUCUUGUAGCAUUCUCAGACCUGUGCUUUAUCAUCUCAUCGGAUUGAAAAUUAUUGACAGGACCUAAAAUGGAUCAUUUUAAUCGUUUUUUAAUGGUGUUGAUCAUUGUAAUGGAAUUGUAUCACUCCAGGUCAAGCAUAUUUGAUGCCAAGGCCGGGAUAGGAUUGAGUAACUCAUUCAUGAAGCUGGUGACUUGGUAUGAUAAUGAGUGGGGAUACAGCAACCGAGUGCUGGACCUGAUAGAGCACAUGGCAUUGGUGGCAGCACAUCACUAAGAAUUUUUAAUGAGGUUUAUGGCUGCUUACAGCAGCAAUUUUAGCACAUGCUAUGAGUUUCAUCCAAAGUGCAGUUGCAGAUUUUAUAGAAAUUCAGUUUUUGCCAGAGUGGCUUCAAAACCCCAACACACCCCACACCACCCCACCCCCUCCUCCUCCUCCUCUCCCUCUCCUUCUCCCUGCAAUUCCAGCUCUUGAAUCCAAAAACAACAGCAUUUCAAUUCGAGGCGUUAAAGCUAUCCCUGCAUUUCAUCAUUAAGAACCUUUUAUUAAAUAGCAAAGCAUGUGUCCAAACAUAACGUUAGAAUUGUAUCUUUUUUCAAUCCUUCAUGAUGCUACUCCUUUCGUAUCCAUACAUGCUCACAAUUGUUUACCCAUUUGCCCUCUCUUCCUCUACCUUGCCCUAUCCCUUUUCCUCUGCCCGUAGGCCCCGUACCCCUACCAUAACCAUAUCCUCUCCAAUUUGACUGUCCUGCCCCUCUUUCCUGGAUAUGCCCUCUUUCUUGCUCUCUUUGUCCUUUCCCUUCCUUUUCAACUUGUCCUCUAUCUUCCCAUCUACCUUUUCCCAGUCCCGCUCCUCUCCCUUGAACUCUACCUCUUCCUUGGGAUGUACCUUGCCCCGUUACAACUAAGCCAUUCCGCACUUGGUUAUUGUUCUCUUUCAAGUGAUUGAAGGUAUGAUUGCCAGUGAUGGUUUUCCAAGAUACACUCGGUUCCAAAUUCAAACAAUCAAAUUGUUUCAAUAUUUGUUGAGGCUUCUGAACAUAACCCCUGGAUCUUUUAUCAGCCUGUCGUAUAGGCUCUGGCACACGAUACUGGCAAGUCAUUUUAACAAUUUCAAUUGCAGUAUCAAGUGAUAUACGGUGACCAAUCGAAAUAAAUAUAGGUUUCACAGAACCCUCAGUUGACCUCAUUGCCGCUCCACAUAUGCGCCCAGAGCGUCCUUUCAAAAUAAUAAAAUUUUCACCACUUUUAACUUUGGCUUGAAGACAUUUUUUCACUCCAGAUUCAGUAAGCCCAUCUACGAAAUGCAGUUUCUUUCCAAUCCCAAUAGUAGGAAGAUUGGCCAGAACGCCUAGAUGACAAGCCAAGCCAAAGCCUCGAGGAUGAAGUAUCCCAUUGCCAUCAACCAUUACUAACUGAGGGUAGUAAGGAUUGUUAUUAUUUCUCAUCUUUUCAAGAAGCUGUAGAAGUACUGGAGCCUCUCUGAAUGCAAGGAAGCCAGCAAUAUAAGGAACAUCAAGCCUGACAUGAGCAGACUCUUGGUACACCACUUUGCUAGUGCGAAAAUCCAAAACAACGAGUGUCCCGCAUGCAAUUGAUUGGUCUUCCUUUAAGCAACUCACAUCAACACCACCAAUAUACUUCAAGACCGCUUGAUCAUCUUCUUUACCGGUGGAUGUGCUUCCAGGUAUGGGUAGCUUCCAUGGGAAAUCAUCCUCAGUGAUUAACCUCUCCUUGAGCGAAUUCUGAAUCUCUUUCCACCUCUGCAAAAUGCCUGAUGUUGAGGUCGACGUUGACGCUGAUGAUGACGAUGAUGCUUCUCCUCCUCCACCGUACAUUUUUUCAUAAAAAUUAGUUUAUACACUAUUUGCUCAGUUGCAGUGAAAUUGCAAUUUCUGCUUUACAGUGAUCUUCACAAGCAACAAGAACAGGCAAUACACAGUACUCACUACCCAUUUAACGCAAAACUAUCAUCUCCUCCUAAUUUUCGAUUUCUUGCUAAUGAAGUUGGAAUGUCACUUUCCAAGGACAAAAGAAAAGGGCAAAUAGAAAGUAUUUUCCUUCUUAUUUUUUCCCGGAAACUCCAGGGACCCAUAAGUACACCGAGUGUGCGCAGCACACGGAAUUAG
rnacentral:misc_RNA from 1 species